rnacentral:rRNA from 1 species
GUGAGGAAUUUUCCGCAAUGAGCGAAAGCCUGACGGAGCAAUGCCGCGUGAAGGAUGAAGGCCUAUGGGUUGUAAACUUCUUUUCUCAGAAAAGAAUUAUGACGGUAUCUGAGGAAUAAGCAUCGGCUAACUCUGUGCCAGCAGCCGCGGUAAGACAGAGGAUGCAAGCGUUAUCCGGAAUGAUUGGGCGUAAAGCGUCUGUAGGUUGUUUAAAAAGUAUUCUGUCAAAGAUUAGGGCUUAACCCUAGAUAGGCAGAAUAAACUUUUAAGCUAGAGUUUGGUAGAGGCAGAGGGAAUUCCCGGUGGAGCGGUGAAAUGCGUAGAUAUCGGGAGGAACACCAAAGGCGAAGGCACUCUGCUGGGCCAAUACUAACACUGAGAGACGAAAGCGAGGGGAGCAAAUGGGAUUAGAUACCCUAGUAGUCC